CAGGUGAAACCUUUAAAGGGGUUUACACUGUGCAACCUUUACCCCUUCAAACUAGAUUUUCCGCUUGGAUCCUUAAGGGACCGAGACGGGAUU
rfam:Thermanaeromonas toyohensis ToBE genome assembly, chromosome: I